AUGCAAAAAAAAAAUAUGAAAGUCUUACGGAAAAAGAAAAAAAAAAGAAAACCUAAACUUUGUUACAAUAGGCAUUAAUUCUGCAAUACAAUUGCGAAAUUAUUUAUCUCACAUUCUUUUUUAUGAUUAUUAUUUCAAGAAUAAAUCAAAUCAAAAUUACUUCGAUAACUCAAUUCAUACUGUAUUGAAAUUCAAUGAUAAGGUAAAGAAAUUCAGUGGUAAUAUCGAUGAAUAUGUAAAUCGUUUAAAUCGAGUUUAUCCUGAACGUGAGCCUAUAAUUGCGCUGAAAUAUACAUUUUAUAUUGAGGAGAUUAAAUGCUGGUUAACACAAUUUCAACAAAGAAUUGAUCGCAAAUCAAUUGAAAGAUAUUGCAAUAUAGAAAUGUCUCACUAUGAAAAGCUAUCCUCGAUACGAAAUGAGUUGGACAGAUAUA